AGUGAACGCUGGCGGUAGGCCUAACACAUGCAAGUCGAACGGCAGCACAGUAAGGGCUUGCUCUUACGGGUGGCGAGUGGCGGACGGGUGAGGAAUACAUCGGAAUCUACUUUUUCGUGUAGGAUAACGUAGGGAAACUUACGCUAAUAUAGCAUACCACCUACUUGUUUAUUCCGGGGAUCUUCAUAGCUUGCUCCAAUUGCUGAGCUGCGGUAGGGUUCGCUGUUUGGCUGGGUAAAGGCCCACCAAGCGGACGAUCCGUAGCUGGUCUGAGAGGCGGAUCAGCAAAAUUGGAACUGAGACACGGUCCAGACUCCUACGGGAGGCACCAGUGGGGAAUAUUGGACAAAGGGCGCAAGCCUGACCCAGCCAGACCGCGUGGGUGAAGAAGGCCUUCGGGUUGUAAAGCCCGUUUGUUGGGAAAGAAAAGCAGCAGGUUAAUACCCCGAUGUUCUGACGGUACCCAAAGAAUAAGCACCGGCUAACUUCGUG
rnacentral:rRNA from 1 species